GAAGUGGCUCAGUUUGGUAGAGCACCUGGUUUGGGACCAGGGGGUCGCAGGUUCAAAUCCUGUCUUCC
rnacentral:tRNA from 2 species